rnacentral:rRNA from 1 species
GAUCAUGGCUCGGAUUUGAACGCUGGCGGCAGGCCUAACACAUGCAAGUCGAACGGUAACAGGAAGAAGCUUGCUUUCUUUGCUGACGAGUGGCGGACGGGUGAGUAAUGUCUGGGAAACUGCCUGAUGGGAGGGGGAUAACUACUGGAAACGGUAGCUAAUACCGCAUAACGUCGCAAGACCAAAGGAGGGGGACCUUCGGGCCUCUUGCCAUCGGAUGCGCCCAGAUGGGAUUAGCUAGUAGGUGGGGUAACGG